ACUAAAAAAAGGUUGGGAAACACUGCCCUAAAGUACGCUUCCUCUUCCUGUUCUGUUUAAAAACAGGUCUAUCGGUAAAGAUAAGAAGGCCAUCCAGGCUUCCAUUAGAAGAAACAAAGAAACGAAUACGGUUUUAGCCAGACUCAACAGUGAAUUACAGCAGCAGUUGAAGGACCUGCUAGAAGAAAGAAUAUCGCUUGAAGUGCAACUGGAACAGCUUAGACCAUUUUCGCAUUUGUAAAAAGAGUGUGUGUUCGCUUCAGAUUGAAUGUUUGUGUGUAUGAAAGAGUGAUUACCCCAGUUGUUUUUUUUUUUUAGUGGUCUGUUGGAUCCUCUGGCAGGAUGUCCAUUUCACCCUUUCUCCACUCCUCUGCUGACUGUGUGAGAAGAGACACGAUCGCUGCUUCCUCCAGACUGUUCUGUCUCACACAGCCAUUCAGAGGGAUGGGGUCCAGGAACAUUAUCCGUUAUGGCACUUUGAUGAAACAGAAAGUCUGAGUGGUUGCGUGUGUAAUACCCCAGACAUUGCAGGUUCUGUUUAGCAUGUGAGGCAAGAGCCUGACGUCAUGGCUGGCAGGAGGCUGUAAUUCUGGUAAACAUGAAGGAGCCUCUUCCCCUCCUGUUCUCCAGAGUCCUGAGGCAGCUUGUCAUGUUCUUCCGUGUUAGAGGCACCCGUGUGUGCUCAGACAAUCAUGUUAGGCCAUGCACUGGUCGUAAAGAGGGUAGAACUGAUUUUUGGGAGAUCAUACUAUUUCAGAAGUACGCUUUCUGACAUGCACUUGUUAAAAAGACAGUUCACUCAAAAAUUAAAAUUCUUUCAUUAUUUAUUCACCCUCAAGUCUUUACAAACUCAUAUGACUUUGUUCUUUUGAUGAAUAUUCCUGGCUGAUCUUUUCGAAAUAAUGACAGUAAAUAAGGACUGGGGAUUCCAAGCUCCUAAAAUACAAAAGAAACACCAAAAAGUGUGCUAUAUUUAAAUUAUUUGUCAUAUGAUUGCUGUGUGCAAGGAACAGACACUGAUUUUUUUCUCCAAUGAACUGUGUCGAACUUAAGCACUGGAUCAGUCAAAUUUGUGAAUAAUUCAUUCUUUUUUUUCCCCCUGGAUAACCUGAAUCGUUGAAAAGAUUCAAACUAAUCCGAUGAAUCUUUUGUUCACAAAUCAGACAGUCACUGUCAGCAAAAUGGCAAAGAGAACUUUAAUGCUUUUAUGCGGCUUUUGUUUGUAAGUCCUCUCAUUAAAUCGAAACGAGCGGCCAGGAUAUUCUUCAAAAAUUCACCUUUUGUGUCACAUGAAAGAAAGAAACUCUUACGGGUUUUGAGCAAAUGACAUAAUUGUUUUUUUGGAUGAACUGCCCCUUUAAUAUUUCUUCCUUGCCAUAUCGGUGGACAGCACAUCUGUGUGUGUUUGUUUCAUGUGCGUGAGAGAGUUUGAGGACGACAGUUACAAACGUGUCAUCAAGAACUGCUUUCUUCUCUUGUCUUAACACACACUGUUGUGUUACUACAAAACAACCCGUUCAACCUUGUACUGUCUUUCACCCCGGGAUGGCAGAUGUCCCUCUCUGUCUCGGAUGUCGGCUGUACCUCAUAUGGUACAUCAUCAGUCCUGCAUCAUAAAUUCUGUGACAUCAUCAGUAUGUAAACCUGAGACCUGAAACAAUGACUGCACUUUCUCCCCUUCGGUUUUCAUUUGUCUUUUCUCGUACCUAUUUUUGCAUGUCGUUCACAAUCUCAUUUCGUAUAAAACGGCUCUUAACGAUGAACCACUUGAUUUGUAUCUGUAACGUCUGAACUAAUGUGACGUUUUUAUUGUUACAUAGACUUGCACCAUGUCUUUCAUCCAUUCGUUUUUGACUGACGUCUGUGUUUUUCUUUUACUCCUCCUUAAAGCCUUACUUCCUGGUGUGCAGGUUUUCACAGUAAUGUGUCCCCCCCAUGUUAAAUCAAGACGAGCCUUUUCUCCCUGCUGUUCAGGCUGAUUUACUGUAUCAGGGGUAGGUUGUAUAUUGUAUGAUACACACCUUUUGAUCUCAUAUGUAAAUUUGCAUUAAUUGCUGACUAACAGCAAAUAUUCUAUUUAAUUGCUUAUACAAUGGCUGUGGGAUCAUAAAUGUUUAACUGCAUGGAUGUUUCUCUGCAGAAUGAACUAGCAGCUGUGUGAUUUUUACACAAAA